rnacentral:rRNA from 1 species
AACGAACGCUGGCGGCGCGCCUAAUACAUGCAAGUCGAGCGAGAAGGUGUAGCAAUACACUUGUAAAGCGGCGAACGGGUGAGGAAUACAUGGGUAAUCUACCAUCGAGUGGGGAAUAACCAACCGAAAGGUUGGCUAAUACCGCGUACGCCUCCGAAUCUUCGGGUUCGGAGGGAAAGCUGCACUGUGAGUGUAGCGCUCUUUGAUGAGCUCAUGUCCUAUCAGCUUGUUGGUAGGGUAACGGCCUACCAAGGCUUUGACGGGUAGCUGGUCUGAGAGGACGAUCAGCCACACUGGCACUGCGACACGGGCCAGACUCCUACGGGAGGCAGCAGUAAGGAAUAUUGCGCAAUGGGCGAAAGCCUGACGCAGCGACGCCGCGUGGGGGAUGAAGGUCUUCGGAUUGUAAACCCCUUUCGGAGGGAAGAUGGAGCGAGCAAUCGUUCGGACGGUACCUCCAGAAGCAGCCACGGCCAACUUCGUGCCAGCAGCCG